CGGCGCGCUGCAAGAGCAACAAGUAGAACGGGGCCAUAUCAAAAGUUAUUUCGACAAAACUAGUGCUAGGGUGCGCUAGACAAACGAAUCCCUGAGGCCUUAACAAAGGCACCUAAAAAAUAUCCGUAAAGUAAUACCAGCAUCAAACAACCGAAGGGAGCCAUCAUUACGGCGCGGUCAUAUCGACGACUUGCCUCGA